ensembl:lncRNA
AGGACACGCGAGCAAAGGCGGGAGGCCAGUGCCGAGCCGGGACUGAGGCCCGCCGUUAUCAGCGGGGAGUCACUCCAGGUCCAGCCAGCAGGGUGGUUUGAGGGCAGAGGAGUUCAAAAGUUGAGAGCUGAUUAGUAUUCCAGGCACCAGGACGGCUGCAAACCAGCUCGAGGCGCAGGUAGGGGGUGCUGGGGGGUGGCGAUUGAAGCCUGGGCUCACCCCCACCCCGCUGGAGACCCCGCUACCGAAACUGGAAGAGCGUUCCUGGCCGCCCCUGCCCUCCCUGGCCGCCCCUGCCCUCGCCGCCUCCACGGUCACCCCACCUCGCCCUGCCCUUGGUCCUGGAGCCGUCAGGCAGCCCGGGGUCCGGGGGACUCUCCCGGGAUCUCACUGGCUGCCUUUGCAGGCGAGCAUAGCAUUUGCAUACAUUUGUAUAAGUUAUGCAUCGAGAACCCUUCUCUUUAACAUUGCAACCUAAUGAAAUCACUCAGACAGCACAUUAAAAACACAGCUGACUCUGGGAAGUCUGACCCUUUCCAUGUUAAAUCAUUUGAAUGAUCCUUUGAAUCUAUUUGCACAAGUGGCGCAUUCAAAUGGCCCUCGCCCAGGUUUUCGGAGUUAAUGAGACAAUUGGGCCACCUCCGGGGGGUGGGGGACGUGCCCGCUGCUCGCCUUAUGCUGCCCAGGGUGCUGGGAACCUCAGGCGGCCAGGGGCGUCCCCAGCAGGAUGGCAGGCGCUCCCGGGCAUGAAGAAAUGAACCCAGGGAGUCCCCACCAAACAAAUCCAUCUCACGGGCCCUCUGGGUGGGACACGAACCUGCACCUGUGCAGAGGUGUGAGGAUGCAGAGAAGAGCUAAAACACGCAGAGCAGGGUGCCAGACCCCACUGCAGGGAACCCUGGUGUCGCAGGGGAGCCAGGGCCCCCAGCAGCGUGCUGGGCCUGUAGGUCCUGCAGACCGAGGCUGCCCACCCCCAGGGCAGGGCCUCCAGGCAGCCAGCCAGGAGCACACUGCACUCCCCAGGAUGGAGACCUCCUCUCAAGGUCAGGCUCUCAGAGCGCAGGGUCAGCAGGUUCUCUGCAGGCAGCACGCUGAGCUGGGUCCUGGCAGGAGGGCCCUAGGACCCCCUUUGUACUUAGUAUCUCACCAAGGGCAUUGUUCACGGACACUUUGUUUUCACUGGCUUCUCACGAAAACCUUCAAAUACCAGAGAGGAAAGCUAGUCCAUAAUGUGUGUGACGCGCUCGAGAUGCUCAGCUAACGGGGGCGGCGUGAAGAUGGACCGAGUCCAGGGCUGCCCGUCUCACUUCCUAGAGGCCCCCGCUCUGGAGGGUCCUUCCCUUGCCUUGCAUGUCCCUGCCCAGCUGGGCAUCCUCUCGGGAAGCAGCACUCUGGCUGGAAGCCCUUCCCUGGGGAAUUUUGUCCACAGCCAGCGUGCGGAGACUGGGCCCCCGGGCCUGGUGAGAAUUAUUUCUUCCCAGGAGCAGGAUGGGGGGCUGGCCUGAGCUCAGCACCGCUCACGUCACCCGGCUCCUCACAGGCCAGCUUGAAUCCUCCGAUCGCCGGGCUCCCGAAGCUUGUAGCCCCAGGGUGGAUGAAAGUACAGCGAGCCACACCCGGGUCCACAGUGAGUCCCUCGGGCCCUAGGUCUGGGCAGCCAGACCUUUGCCCUGGUUGGUUCGCAGGCAGCAGAUGCCUGCGUCCUUUGAGAGCCGUCCCUGACGGACUCUCUGCAGCCCCGCCAGCUUAUCUGGAAGCGGCCCCCGCGCCAUCUGGACCUGAGAAUCCGAGCCCUCCGGUCUGGCCCGUCAUUUCACUCGAGUCAGCGAAGAUUUAUGGCCCCGUGCAGUGCACCAGCCCCCAUCAGGGUCUGCGCCGGGCACGGGCCAGGGGACCCACGGCGCGGGCUGUCCAUCAGCCUGUCCGGGAGCAGUGGGGGUCCUCCUCCCGAGGCUUCCUGCCAGGACGGGCAGACGUUGCACAGCACGUCCGGCCCGAAGCGAGUGUUUCCUUUGGCAGAAGGUUCUCUUCGCCGAGGCUGCGUCAGCCAGAAAGGCUGGGAUUGCAGAAGAUCAAGAAACCGUCCUUUUCGUCUUCAACUCACCUGUCGGGCACGGUCCCGUCUCACCUUUACCACAAAGCGACAGCACAUUCGGGGUUAAAAUCACUCAUCCUCCGUCUGCGGCAAAAGAUCUCGGUGUGGGGAGGUGAGGGCGGGGGCGGCCAGGACGGCUCUGUCCCGGGUUUCACACGCGGUCGCUGUCCCAGAAACGCACGCUCGAUGCCAGGGGCCCCGGCUCCUGCUUGACGCGUCGGGCCAGGUGCCCCCGCGGCGCCCGCUCCUGGAGGCACAGCCUUCUGAAGCUCGGGGCCCAGCCCCUCCCAUCCGAGAACACGGCUGUCAGAGGGAACCCACCGUUCCGCACACAGGGUUUAUCGACCGCCCGGAAAGCAGCCAUUCCGCCAGUCUCAACCGCUCCACUGCCGUUGCAGGGCACAGAACUGCCGGCGCGUUUUCACAAGAGUGCGCGCACCAGGCGCUGGAUCCAAGAGCACGGCCGCAGGUGGUGCUCGCACAGUGACACCGUCGGGGGCCGGCAGAGUCACCACCUGACGGGAGCCGGAGCUGGCUCAGGGGCGACGCGGCCCCUUGCAGGCUGAACCCCAAGAUAAGCGCUGUGUGACCCUGUGGCCGCCGGCCAGAGCGCCCAGUGGCUGACCAGCAUUCAAGGUCUGCGGGUGUCCCAGCACCCACCCCAGCCUCGCCCUCCGCCUCCCACCGCUAACGGUGGGACCCGUGACUCCUUGGAAGAUUUAUCAGAAAUCACUGAUUUUUAAUUGUUUUAGAAACACCCUAAGUGAGGAAGAUUUCCUAGGUGUGUCUCCACUCCGAUGAGGCGUGAUGUGUGCACAGCACAUUUUGUUAACACCCUCACUCCCAGCACUCAAGGCUUGCUUAUGAGAAAGGUCCUUCUGAUUGUGGGAUACUGGCAGUCAAACAACAUACGGGCCCCCGCGUCCUGAACCCUGCAGGGCACAGACCCCGCAUGCUGCAUGCUGCUCUCAAAUGUGGGCUCCCUGCAGCCCUUGCUUCCCCACCCAGUGUGACCCCCCCACACUGGCUGGCCCUCCUCUACCCCGAAAAGUGACCCCCUCGGUGCCACCAAAGCUGUUUUCCCACUCCGUGCUGGACACGGCUGUGGCUCCUGGUCGCCACACAGCCAACACCAGAAUCAGAUGCCCAGCCACCCCUCCUCACUCUGUUCCCGUCCCCCAGCCCCUGGCUCCUGCGACACUGAACACCCACCAACGCCCACUCUGGUCCAGCGGCCGGAGCUAUCAGGGUCCAGCCCGGGUCAGUGCAGGUUCGCUCAGGGCUACCAGCCAGCCUCUGGACCACAGACUGAGUCCUUCCACUUGCUUUUGCAUCACAAGCGAACAUGUCUGGUUUAGUAAACAGUAAAGGCUGGCGUCUAGCAGAGCUGGAUUCAGAGCCAGCACGUGUCUGGCCAGCAUCAGCCACAGGGAGCAGGACCCCCCCUGCUCACAAAUCCCUACUCAGCCAUGGGCACGGUGAUCCGUCUCUCACUACUUGUCUCUUGCUGUUCUGAGUACUUUCCGGGAAUUUUUCUAGGCAGUGUGCGAGCAAUCAUCACUGAAGUGUGCCAAACACCCUGCCUCUGUUUUAUUGUUUUCACAGUUUUUGCAGCUCAUUGCCUGUGUUCACCCUCCAGUCCUUUGCCUGCCCCAGUCCGCCUCCAGGAAACCACCGCACGUGUUUGCUUCUGUCUUGGAAUAAGCUGUGUGUGGUCGGGUCGUUCAGAACGGCUGUCCAGGACCUGCUUCACCUACACCUUAGCCAUGUGGCUGACCUUCCUGCGCACUGGCCCCAGGCCCCAGCUGUGAUGUUCUUAUCAAAGAGGUCAUAAGGGGCGUGCCCCUCUGCAGGGUUCCCUGGUAACCGAUGAGCCACACCUGGCAAUCUCCUCUCCCCACUGGGAGCAAAUGCUGCCACACGUCCUGUCCACCACCCACUGCACCCGGUGGGGUGUUGCUCCAGGAGCUUCUUCAGACAUGCAUGCUCCCCCUUCCGUGAAACCACUGACGUCUCUGUCUCUGCCUCCAGGCUCUUUCUUCGGUCCUAAAGCUGGGUGAGCACCAGGCUUGCAGCCUGCGGGGUGCAGCCCAACAGGAACACACAGGAGAGCUUCCGUGUUUAUGUCUGAACCGACUGACUGUCAUGGGGCUGAGCCUCCGCACCGCUUGCCCUGCGAUGCACUCAAAGUGCUCCGUGUCCAGCACCCGCUGCAGACUGCAUGAGGCCCCGGCUGACGCAGGGCCCCCCAUGUCUCCUCCGCCUUUACCCCCUCUUCUGGGUCACACACCUUGGGUGCCGGCAUCUCCUGUUCACACCGCAUUGAGUGUGCUAAGACACCACCCCGUGCCUGCAGACAGUUGUCAGAGCCGGUACCCAGGCUGCUCCCACCCCAUCACCUGGAUUCCCAUUUUUGUCCAUCCUCUACCAGCAGCUGGAUUCAUCAGGCUUUUCCCUUUUGAAAGUACAAUGAGUACGAGAUGAAGGAGCAAUGCUGUUUAACUCAGCAUUUCUCUGGUUGCCCGUGUGCUGUGUCUUCCAGGCAUUCAGGUUCCCCCUCUUCUGAAUGGCCUACACAUUUCUUGGCAAAUUUUUCUUGAUUGUCCUCCUUUUCUCCUUCUUAAUUUUGAAGAAGCGUUGCACCUCCUCUAGCUGGCCAUGCCUUGUCAGCUUUAAAUGUUGACGGUGUCUUCUGAGCCAUCCUCCAGCUCCUCACCAUACGGUCAGCGGAUCCAUCCCUCUUCGUGACGGGCGGUGCUUUGGAAGAAAGCACACGGUUAUAGAACCCCCUCCUCACUUGAGAGUACGGAGACCCUCUCGCGUUUCUUCAGUGGCCUUUACAGCUGCCCCCGUCGCUCUGGUCUUCAGUCCUUCCAGCGACGGCCUUAGCUUGGUCAGAGGCUGUGCGUCUAAGGAUUCUUUUCUCUGCAGACUGCAUGUCACCUCCUUGCUGGGCACCAGAUCACCCAUCCUCUCCUCACUGAAGUGCUGUUACUUGCAGGGCCCCCAAAUUUCUAACCAUGUUUCUGAAAUCUGUUUUCUGUCUCUUGUCUACAAGUCAGUUUUCUCCAGAAGCAGGAUUUUCCUGAUCACUUCUUUCCAGUGUGUCUUAAUAUAUGGUAGCCUAACUCCCCUUUCUCUUUUCUUUUUCAAAAGUGUCUUGUUUAUUCUGGAUAUUUGUUGCUUCACAAAUUUUAAAUGAUUUUAUUCUUUAAAACAACCAUACUAGAGUUUUUAUUGGAACAGCAUUACUUGGGUAGAUGUAUUGAGGUGGGGUGAAACAUUUCACAAUGCCAAGUUGCCUCAUCCAUGAAUAUGGUAUAUGUCUUGCCUUCUUUCACAUCCGACGUGAUGUCUGUCUUCUAG